rnacentral:tRNA from 1 species
GCCUUCGUGGCGUAAUGGUCAGCAUGCUGGGCGCGUAUUCCAGAAGUCGACGCGUAACCGAGAGAUCCCUGGUUCGAUUCCCGGUGAAGGCG